rnacentral:rRNA from 1 species
UAAGCGACUAAGCGUACACGGUGGAUGCCCUGGCAGUCAGAGGCGAUGAAGGACGUGCUAAUCUGCGAAAAGCGUCGGUAAGGUGAUAUGAACCGUUACAGCCGGCGAUGUCCGAAUGGGGAAACCCAGUGCAAUUCGUUGCACUAUCGUUAACUGAAUACAUAGGUUAACGAGGCGAACCGGGGGAACUGAAACAUCUAAGUACCCCGAGGAAAAGAAAUCAACCGAGAUUCCCCCAGUAGCGGCGAGCGAACGGGGAGCAGCCCAGAGUCUGAAUCAGCUUGUGUGUUAGUGGAACGGUCUGGAAAGUCCGACGGUACAGGGUGAUAGUCCCGUACACCAAAAUGCACAGGCUGUGAACUCGAAGAGUAGGGCGGGACACGUGGUAUCCUGUCUGAAUAUGGGGGGACCAUCCUCCAAGGCUAAAUACUCCUGACUGACCGAUAGUGAACCAGUACCGUGAGGGAAAGGCGAAAAGAACCCCGGCGAGGGGAGUGAAAAAGAACCUGAAACCGUGUACGUACAAGCAGUGGGAGCACCUUCGGGUGUGACUGCGUACCUUUUGUAUAAUGGGUCAGCGACUUAUAUUCUGUAGCAAGGUUAACCGUAUAGGGGAGCCGCAGGGAAACCGAGUCUUAACUGGGCGUUAAGUUGCAGGGUAUAGACCCGAAACCCGGUGAUCUAGCCAUGGGCAGGUUGAAGGUUGGGUAACACUAACUGGAGGACCGAACCGACUAAUGUUGAAAAAUUAGCGGAUGACUUGUGGCUGGGGGUGAAAGGCCAAUCAAACCGGGAGAUAGCUGGUUCUCCCCGAAAGCUAUUUAGGUAGCGCCUCGUGAACUCAUCUUCGGGGGUAGAGCACUGUUUCGGCUAGGGGGUCAUCCCGACUUACCAACCCGAUGCAAACUACGAAUACCGAAGAAUGUUAUCACGGGAGACACACGGCGGGUGCUAACGUCCGUCGUGAAGAGGGAAACAACCCAGACCGCCAGCUAAGGUCCCAAAGUCAUGGUUAAGUGGGAAACGAUGUGGGAAGGCACAGACAGCCAGGAUGUUGGCUUAGAAGCAGCCAUCAUUUAAAGAAAGCGUAAUAGCUCACUGGUCGAGUCGGCCUGCGCGGAAGAUGUAACGGGGCUAAACCAUGCACCGAAGCUGCGGCAGCGACACUAUGUGUUGUUGGGUAGGGGAGCGUUCUGUAAGCCUGCGAAGGUGUGCUGUGAGGCAUGCUGGAGGUAUCAGAAGUGCGAAUGCUGACAUAAGUAACGAUAAAGCGGGUGAAAAGCCCGCUCGCCGGAAGACCAAGGGUUCCUGUCCAACGUUAAUCGGGGCAGGGUGAGUCGACCCCUAAGGCGAGGCCGAAAGGCGUAGUCGAUGGGAAACAGGUUAAUAUUCCUGUACUUGGUGUUACUGCGAAGGGGGGACGGAGAAGGCUAUGUUAGCCGGGCGACGGUUGUCCCGGUUUAAGCAUGUAGGCUGAUUGUCCAGGCAAAUCCGGAUAAUCAAGGCUGAGGUGUGAUGACGAGGCACUACGGUGCUGAAGUAACAAAUGCCCUGCUUCCAGGAAAAGCCUCUAAGCAUCAGGUAACAUCAAAUCGUACCCCAAACCGACACAGGUGGUCAGGUAGAGAAUACCAAGGCGCUUGAGAGAACUCGGGUGAAGGAACUAGGCAAAAUGGUGCCGUAACUUCGGGAGAAGGCACGCUGGUGUGUAGGUGAAGUCCCUGCGGAUGGAGCUGAGACCAGUCGAAGAUACCAGCUGGCUGCAACUGUUUAUUAAAAACACAGCACUGUGCAAACACGAAAGUGGACGUAUACGGUGUGACGCCUGCCCGGUGCCGGAAGGUUAAUUGAUGGGGUUAUCCGUAAGGAGAAGCUCUUGAUCGAAGCCCCGGUAAACGGCGGCCGUAACUAUAACGGUCCUAAGGUAGCGAAAUUCCUUGUCGGGUAAGUUCCGACCUGCACGAAUGGCGUAAUGAUGGCCAGGCUGUCUCCACCCGAGACUCAGUGAAAUUGAACUCGCUGUGAAGAUGCAGUGUACCCGCGGCAAGACGGAAAGACCCCGUGAACCUUUACUAUAGCUUGACACUGAACAUUGAGCCUUGAUGUGUAGGAUAGGUGGGAGGCUUUGAAGCGUGGACGCCAGUCUGCGUGGAGCCAACCUUGAAAUACCACCCUUUAAUGUUUGAUGUUCUAACGUUGGCCCCUGACCGGGGUUGCGGACAGUGUCUGGUGGGUAGUUUGACUGGGGCGGUCUCCUCCCAAAGCGUAACGGAGGAGCACGAAGGUUAGCUAAUCCUGGUCGGACAUCAGGAGGUUAGUGCAAUGGCAUAAGCUAGCUUGACUGCGAGCGUGACGGCGCGAGCAGGUGCGAAAGCAGGUCAUAGUGAUCCGGUGGUUCUGAAUGGAAGGGCCAUCGCUCAACGGAUAAAAGGUACUCCGGGGAUAACAGGCUGAUACCGCCCAAGAGUUCAUAUCGACGGCGGUGUUUGGCACCUCGAUGUCGGCUCAUCACAUCCUGGGGCUGAAGUAGGUCCCAAGGGUAUGGCUGUUCGCCAUUUAAAGUGGUACGCGAGCUGGGUUUAGAACGUCGUGAGACAGUUCGGUCCCUAUCUGCCGUGGGCGCUGGAGAAUUGAGGGGGGCUGCUCCUAGUACGAGAGGACCGGAGUGGACGCAUCACUGGUGUUCGGGUUGUCAUGCCAAUGGCACUGCCCGGUAGCUAAAUGCGGAAGAGAUAAGUGCUGAAAGCAUCUAAGCACGAAACUUGCCCCGAGAUGAGUUCUCCCUGAGACUAUAAGUCUCCUGAAGGAACGUUAAAGACGAUGACGUUGAUAGGCCGGGUGUGUAAGCGCAGCGAUGCGUUGAGCUAACCGGUACUAAUGAACCGUGAGGCUUAACCU